rnacentral:rRNA from 1 species
CAGUCGCCACGGUAACACAGAGGGUGCAAGCGUUAAUCGGAUUUACUGGGCGUAAAGGGCGCGUAGGUGGUUAUGUAAGUGAGAUGUGAAAUCCCCGGGCUCAACCUGGGAACUGCAUCUUAUACUGCGUAGCUGGAGUGCAGUAGAGGGUAGUGGAAUUUCCGGUGUAGCGGUGAAAUGCGUAGAUAUCGGAAGGAACACCAGUGGCGAAGGCGGCUACCUGGACUGACACUGAUACUGAGGCGCGAAAGCGUGGGGAGCAAACAGGAUUAGAUACCCGUGUAGUCCCUGUCUCUUAUAC